rnacentral:misc_RNA from 1 species
AAAGUCGUAACAAGGUCUCCGUUGGUGAACCAGCGGAGGGAUCAUUACCGAGUUAUUCAACUCAUCAACCCUGUGAACAUACCUAAACGUUGCUUCGGCGGGAACAGACGGCCCCGUGAAACGGGCCGCCCCCGCCAGAGGACCCCUAACUCUGUUUCUAUAAUGUUUCUUCUGAGUAAAACAAGCAAAUAAAUUAAAACUUUCAACAACGGAUCUCUUGGCUCUG